UACGAAGGGGGCUAGCGUUGCUCGGAAUCACUGGGCGUAAAGCGCGUGUAGGUGGAUUGGUGUGUCAGAUGUGAAAUCCCUGGGCUCAACCCAGGAACUGCACCUGAAACUACCAGUCUUGAGUGGUGGAGAGGGAAGUGGAAUUCCUGGUGUAGAGGUGAAAUUCGUAGAUAUCAGGAGGAACACCAGUGGCGAAGGCGGCUUCCUGGACACAAACUGACGCUGAGACGCGAAAGCGUGGGGAGCAAACAGG
rnacentral:rRNA from 1 species